AGUGAACGCUGGCGGUAGGCCUAACACAUGCAAGUCGAACGGCAGCACAGUAAUAGCUUGCUCUUACGGGUGGCGAGUGGCGGACGGGUGAGGAAUACAUCGGAAUCUACUUUUUCGUGGGGGAUAACGUAGGGAAACUUACGCUAAUACCGCAUACGACCUACGGGUGAAAGCAGGGGAUCUUCGGACCUUGCGCGAUUGAAUUAGCCGAUGUCGGAUUAGCUAGUUGGCGGGGUAAAGGCCCACCAAGGCGACGAUCCGUAGCUGGUCUGAGAGGAUGAUCAGCCACACUGGAACUGAGACACGGUCCAGACUCCUACGGGAGGCAGCAGUGGGGAAUAUUGGGCAAUGGGCGCAAGCCUGAUCCAGCCAUACCGCGUGGGUGAAGAAGGCCUUCGGGUUGUAAAGCCCUUUUGUUGGGAAAGAAAAGCAGCAGGUUAAUACCCCGCUGUUCUGACGGUACCCAAAGAAUAAGCACCGGCUAACUUCGUG
rnacentral:rRNA from 1 species